CCGGCCAAGGGGCCCAAGCCGGAGAAGCCCCCGACCAAGGGCCACGGCCACAAGCCGGAGAAGCCGCCCAAGGAGCACAAGCCGACUCCGCCCACCUACACCCCGAGCCCCAAGCCCACGCCGCCGCCGGCUACUCCCAAGCCGACGCCGCCCACCUACACGCCGAGCCCUAAGCCCAAGUCGCCGGUCUACCCUCCCCCGCCGAAAGCCAGUACUCCUCCGACCUACACCCCGAGCCCCAAGCCUCCGGCGACCAAGCCGCCUACCUACCCGACCCCCAAGCCACCAGCUACCAAGCCUCCGACACCUCCUGUGUACACUCCGAGCCCCAAACCACCGGUUACAAAGCCUCCUACACCCAAGCCGACCCCGCCGGUGUACACGCCGAACCCCAAGCCACCGGUUACCAAGCCUCCGACACACACGCCGAGCCCCAAGCCUCCGACAUCCAAGCCGACUCCGCCGGUGUACACACCGAGCCCCAAGCCACCGAAGCCGUCCCCGCCGACGUACACGCCGACCCCGAAGCCACCGGCUACCAAGCCGCCCACCUCAACUCCGACGCACCCUAAGC
rnacentral:lncRNA from 1 species